rnacentral:rRNA from 1 species
CCUGGUUGAUCCUGCCAGUAAUCAUAUGCUUGUCUCAAAGAUUAAGCCAUGCAUGUCUAAGUACAUGCCGAAAUAAGGCGAAACCGCGAAUGGCUCAUUAAAUCAGUUAUGGUUCCUUAGAUCGUUUCUUCCUACUUGGAUAACUGUGGCAAUUCUAGAGCUAAUACAUGCAGUGAGCCUGGAGCCCUUUGGGUAACGGGUGCUUUUAUUAGACCAAGAUCGAUCGGGUUUCGGCCCGUAUUGUGUGGUGACUCUGGAUAACUUUGUGCUGAUCGCAUGGCCACGAGCCGGCGACGUUUCUUUCAAGUGUCUGCCUUAUCAACUUUCGAUGGUAGGUUACUUGCUUACCAUGGUUGUUACGGGUAACGGAGAAUCAGGGUUCGAUUCCGGAGAGGGAGCCUGAGAAACGGCUACCACAUCCAAGGAAGGCAGCAGGCGCGCAAAUUACCCACUCCCGGCACGGGGAGGUAGUGACGAAAAAUAACAAUACGGGACUCUUUUGAGGCCCCGUAAUUGAAAUGAGUACACUCUAAAUCCUUUAACGAGGAUCAAUUGGAGGGCAAGUCUGGUGCCAGCAGCCGCGGUAAUUCCAGCUCCAAUAGCGUAUACUAAAGCUGCUGCGGUUAAAAAGCUCGUAGUUGGAUCUCAGUUCCAGACGAGUAGUGCAUCUACCCGAUGCGACGGCUCGGACUGAACAUCAUGCCGGUUCUUUCUUGGUGCACUUCAUUGUGUGCCUCGAGAUGGCCGGUGCUUUUACUUUGAAAAAAUUAGAGUGCUCAACGCAGGCGAGUCGCCUGAAUAAACUUGCAUGGAAUAAUAGAACAAGACCUCGUUUCUGUUCUGUUGGUUUUUGGAAUACGAGGUAAUGAUUAAGAGGGACGGACGGGGGCAUUCGUAUUGCGGCGCUAGAGGUGAAAUUCUUGGACCGUCGCAAGACGAACUACUGCGAAAGCAUUUGCCAAGAAUGUUUUCAUUGAUCAAGAACGAAAGUCAGAGGUUCGAAGGCGAUCAGAUACCGCCCUAGUUCUGACCAUAAACGAUGCCAACCAGCGAUCCGCCUGAGUUACUCAAAUGACUCGGCGGGCAGCUUCCGGGAAACCAAAGUAUUUGGGUUCCGGGGGAAGUAUGGUUGCAAAGCUGAAACUUAAAGGAAUUGACGGAAGGGCACCACCAGGAGUGGAGCCUGCGGCUUAAUUUGACUCAACACGGGAAAACUUACCCGGCCCGGACACUGGGAGGAUUGACAGAUUGAGAGCUCUUUCUUGAUUCGGUGGAUGGUGGUGCAUGGCCGUUCUUAGUUGGUGGAGCGAUUUGUCUGGUUAAUUCCGAUAACGAACGAGACUCUAGCCUAUUAAAUAGGUGCGGGGUUCCCAGCACCUUACAACCUUCUUAGAGGGACAAGCGGCUCCUAGCCGCACGAAACAGAGCAAUAACAGGUCUGUGAUGCCCUUAGAUGUCCGGGGCCGCACGCGCGCUACACUGAAGGAAGCAGCGUGUCUUUAUCCCUGUCUGAAAAGACUGGGUAACCCGUGGAACUUCUUUCGUGAUUGGGAUAGGGGCUUGCAAUUGUUCCCCUUGAACGAGGAAUUCCCAGUAAGCGCGAGUCAUAAGCUCGCGUUGAUUACGUCCCUGCCCUUUGUACACACCGCCCGUCGCUACUACCGAUUGAAUGAUUUAGUGAGGUCUUCGGACCGAUGUCCGGCGCGGCCUUUUUCGGUUGCGCCGGUCUGUUGGAAAGAUGACCAAACUUGAUCAUUUAGAGGAAGUAAAAGUCGUAACAAGGUUUCCGUAGGUGAACCUGCGGAAG